rnacentral:rRNA from 1 species
GAUGAACGCUGGCGGCGUGCCUAACACAUGCAAGUCGAACGAUGAAGCCCAGCUUGCUGGGUGGAUUAGUGGCGAACGGGUGAGUAACACGUGAGUAAUCUGCCCUUAACUCUGGGAUAAGCCUGGAAAACUGGGUCUAAUACCGGACAGGAGCGUCCACCGCAUGGUGGGUGUUGGAAAGAUUUAUCGGUUUUGGAUGGACUCGCGGCCUGUCAGCUUGUUGGUGAGGUAUUGGCUCACCAAGGCGACGACCGGUAGCCGGCCUGAGAGGGUGACCGGCCACACUGGGACUGAGACACGGCCCAGACUCCUACGGGAGGCAGCAGUGGGGAAUAGUACACAAUGGGCGCAAGCCUGAUGCAGCGACGCCGCGUGGGGGAUGACGGCCUUCGGGUUGUAAACCUCUUUCAGUAGGGAAGAAGCGAAAGUGACAGUACCUGCAGAAGAAGCACCGGCUAACUACGUG